rnacentral:lncRNA from 1 species
CCCAUUUCUCGUGAGAGCUCUAGAGAAUAGCCUAUAAUUCUCAUAGGAAGCGGCCCCACUUCCACACUCACAAGGUGAAUUCUAUCAAGGAUGUUUACGUAACUCCAACACCCCACCCAUUCGGGCUAUAGAACUCAUUAAGAGAUCAAAGUCUCAACCUCACAAUUCGUUACGAGCUUUAUUAGUGCACACGCAUCAUAGGGAUGGAUAAUAAAAGUGUGCACUUUUAUCACUAUCAAGUUGCUUUCAGAUUCGUUUUUCUUCGCCUAGUUCGUAGGAUCUCUA